CGGCUUCUGCGUCGCUCAUCGCGACGCCGGUUGUUUGCCCGGGCGGGUCCCGUGACCUCCUCCGGGUAACUAUUCGGGCCCCGGUCUCCGGGAAAUAUCCCUACCCUCCCCCGGUCCCGACUGUGGGACCUGGCCCUCGGUGAAGGCCUGAAGCCCCGGCUUUGCCCUGCCCUACUCGCAGGAAGGACUGAGUUUCAGCCAGCUGCGGAGAAUGGAGCCCGGCCUGGCGGCGGUCGCACAGCCCUGGAGGGAGAAGUGUCCAUGGGGAGCACCACCUACCACUAUAACACCCUGCUCCCUUUCCGAUGUAAUGAGUGAGGAGCUUGCUAAGGAACUACAGCAACAGGAACAGAAUGCAGCUUUUCCUCAUGUCAUUGGGAUUGACACAGCAGCUCUCAUUGGAGAAGGCACGGAGACCUCCAGUGACCUCCUCUUGGCACAGAUGCUGCAGAUGGAAUUUGACCGGGAAUAUGACGCACAGCUUCGCCGAGAAGAAAAUAAGUUGAAUGGCGACAGCAAAGUUUCCAUUUCCUUUGAGAAUUACCGAAUGGUGCAUCCAUAUGAAGAUAGUGAGAGCUCAGAGGAUGAAGUUGAUUGGCAAGAUACAAGGCACGAUCCUUAUAAGCUCGAUAAACCUUCAACAAAUCCGAGGCGAGGAUUUGCAGGAAAGGGGAAAGAGAUUACCACCAAACAUGAUGAGGUGACUUGUGGCAGGAGGAAUACAGCUCGAAUGGAAAAUUUUGCUCCAGAGUUCCAGGUUGGCGAUGGAAUUGGGAUGGACUUGAAACUCUCUAACCGUGUUUUCAAUGCUCUAAAGCAGCAUUCGUAUUCAGAACAGCGCCGUAGUGCCAAGAUCCAUGAAAAGAAAGAGCACUCCACUUCUGAUCAAGCUAUGGAUUCGAAAACCCGUCUGCUGCUGUUCAAGAUGGUGAAUUCCGGGGUUCUGGAAAGCAUCAAUGGCUGCAUCAGCACAGGCAAAGAGUCUGUGGUUUUCCACGCUAAUGGGGGAAGCCUGGGUGAUCAAAUGGUUCCCACAGAGUGUGCCAUCAAAGUUUUUAAGACAACUCUCAAUGAAUUCAAAAAUCGGGACAAGUACAUCAAGGAUGAUUACAGGUUCAAAGACCGCUUCAGCAAGCUGAAUCCUCGUAAGAUAAUCCGCAUGUGGGCAGAGAAGGAAAUGCACAACUUGACCAGGAUGCAUAAAGUUGGGAUUCCCUGUCCAGAGGUGGUUCUUCUCAAGAAGCACAUCCUGGUGAUGUCAUUCAUUGGCCAGGAUCACGUGGCAGCUCCCAAACUGAAAGAUGUUCAGCUUAACAAUGAAGACAUGAAGCGAGCCUAUCACCAGGUCUUGCAUAUAAUGCAACAGCUGUACACCGAAUGCAAAUUGGUUCAUGCUGACCUGAGCGCCUACAACAUGUUGUGGCACGUGGGGAAGAUCUGGUUGAUUGAUGUCAGUCAAUCCGUCGAACCCACUCAUCCUCAUGGACUCGAGUUUCUCUUCAGGGAUUGCAAAAAUGUUUCUCAGUUUUUCCAGAAGGCCGGAGUUGCAGAUGCGAUGGGUGAGCGGGAUCUGUUCAAUGCUGUCUCUGGUUUGAAUAUCAGUGCUGAUAAUGAAGUGGACUUCCUUGCUGAGAGAGGAGGUACAGGAGCCUGAAGACCUACACUCAACAACUCAGGAAUAGGUUCUUCCCUUCUGCCAUCAUAUUUCUGAAUGAUCGAGGCUUUGGAAAAAUUAAAUGAAGAUCACGUCCAAAAGCAUGGGAAACUUGCAGAGUUCGAGUCUGAUGAAAGCCCAGAAGAUGAUUAAAAGAGAAAAGCUUUUAAAUAUUUUACUUUGCUGGCUUUUUUUUUUGGUGAAAGCGAAAGGAAACUUGGCAAGCUGGGAUUCAACUGAGCUAGCACUGCAAUUGAAUCUAGAUUAAAAUUUAAAACGAGUGUCAGUA